CCUUCUUGACAUUAUUGAAAGAGACUUGUUUCACUCCCAUAUGAAGAAUGUCACAUACUUGCGGCUGGAUGGAUCAGUUGAACCAGACAAACGAUUUGAAAUUGUAAAGGCUUUUAAUUCAGACCCUACUAUUGAUGCAUUAUUGCUUACAACUCACGUUGGUGGCCUUGGUUUGAAUCUGACAUCUGCUGACACCCUUGUUUUCAUGGAGCAUGAUUGGAAUCCAAUGCGAGAUCUUCAGGCGAUGGACAGGGCGCACAGAUUAGGUCAAAAGAAAGUUGUGAAUGUUCAUCGUCUCAUCAUGCGUGGCACGUUAGAAGAGAAAGUUAUGAAUCUCCAGAAAUUCAAAUUGUCUGUUGCCAAUGCUGUUAUUAAUGCAGAGAAUGCCAGCCUGAAAACAAUGAAUACAGACCAAUUACUUGAUUUAUUUGCAUCAGCUGAAACCAGUACAAAGGGAACUCCGACCUCAAAGCGUGCAGACGGUAAGUCCGAUGAUGACCCUAAAUUAAUGGGCACUGGAAAGGGAUUAAAAGCCAUCCUUGGGGGACUGGAAGAGCUCUGGGACCAAUCACAGUACACUGAAGAGUACAAUCUGACACAAUUCUUAGCAAAGCUCAACGGGUGAACCCCAGUUGCUCAAGCUGUGUACAAAGUGUAUAUUUUUUGUUGAGCUAGGAAAAAAAA
rnacentral:misc_RNA from 1 species